GGACGAACGCUGGCGGCGUGCUUAACACAGGCAAGUCGAGCGGUAAGGCCCUUUCCGGGGGUAACGACGAGCGGCGGAAACGGGUGAGUAACACGUGGGUGACCUGCCCUCAGCUCUGGGAUAAGCCUGGGAAACCGGGUCUAAUACCGGAUAUGACUCCAUGACGCAAUGUUGUGGGGUGGAAAGCCUUGUGCGGCUGAGGAUGGGCCCGCGGCCUAUCAGCUU
rnacentral:rRNA from 1 species